GCUCAAAUUUCGAUCAUCUUAGAAAAAAUAGCUACAAGUCAAUAAUGUACAACUAACUGUUCCAGGCUUCUGGUUUUGGUUGUGGACAGUACUGGAGAGUACAAUGGGUGCUUUCAACAAGUUUUGUUGGUUCAGAAAAAAGAAGAAGAAAAGAUUGAUAGACAGGGGACUCGGGCUCUGUGGAAAACAAGCAGGCUAGUUCUUGAGCAAAGUAGCAAAACCUAGUUUUAGUAGGCUGUUGUGAGCUCAUGAAGGGCUGGAUUCCUUUUCUUUCCAGGGAAAUGCUCGGCUGGAUUUAGUUCUUGUUGUUCAGCCAUCCUCCAGGUCCAGGCAGCUACAGGCGUUAGUUCCAUUUGCAGCGCCUCCUCAGCAGUCAACAAGACC
rnacentral:lncRNA from 1 species